ensembl:lncRNA
UCCAUAGACACACAUUUAUUUAGUUAUUUAGUAUUUCUUUAUGACAAAUGCAUUUCAUUUUUCGUAAAUACACUUAAGAGUUCUUUCUGUCUUUGUGUUUGAUUUCUUGCUUGUAUUUAUCCAUGAAGCUUAUGAGGUAUGAAGGGUGAAAAGAUGUGAAGUUAAAAUCAAGCUGGAAAGAAAAAACGGCGUGGCGUGGUGACGUAACCCGAAGCACGAGCUCAAAGCCUGAGUGCAUGCUUCCCUGGUUUUGUCAGUAAUAUUGACUUGUUAACAAAACACACAUGCCAAAAGUAAUGGGCAGUGUUUAUCACCUAUAUAAGACCGGCACUGGGUAGGAAACCCAGGGGGCAGUGUUUAUCACCUAUAUAAGACCGGCACUGGGAACCCAGGGGGCAGUGUUUAUCACCUAUAUAAGACCGGCACUGGGUAGGAAACCCAGGGGACAGUGUUUAUCACCUGUAUAAGACCGGCACUGGGUAGGAAACCCAGGGGGCAGUGUUUAUCACCUAUAUAAGACCGGCACUUUGUAGGAACCCAGGGGGCAGUGUUUAUCACCUAUAUAAGACCGGCACUGGGAACCCAGGGGGCAGUGUUUAUCACCUAUAUAAGACCAGCUUGACUUUUUACUUCACAUUAAAUUAUGUUACUUCUUAUUUUCACCCCUCAUACCCCAUCAUGUUGAUUCUGCUGGGGAUCCAUUUCUGUUCAACUACCUUCUGCCUCAAGCACUCGUCUCCUGGGAUCCAAGAGUAUGCCUGUUU